CUGCGUCAUUUAGCCUAUCUAUCAAAUCCCUAGGUCCUUCUAAUCGUUCUUCUUAUCGAUUGAUGUCAGGUGACUUCCCAUCUUUGUUCAGAAGUAAUAGGAAUGUGACUUCCCUCAAGUAAGAGACCCUGCUUGCUUAUCAAUCACAGAGCUCUAGUUCUCCAUCCAUCUUAAGCAGCAAAUCGCCAUUUUUUUACUGGAAUUGAGGAUGCUGGAUUGUAUGGUUGGCCUCCAUCUCCAUAGACUCUGUUUCUAUCUUCUGUUCAGUUUUCUAUUUCCAGCUCUAAAUGCAUCUACUAGUACUUCCUUUAUUCUA